AUAGGUUUAGAUUCUAGCUCAGUGAUAGAGCAUCUUGCCUGUCAAGCAGAAGGUCGCAGGUUCAACCCCCAAUCUAUG